AUGAAGGAGUGUAGUGAGAGAGACCUGCUCUACCUCUCACCCAGAGAGAGACCUGCUCUACCUCCUCACCCAGAGAGACCUGCUCUACCUCUCACCCAGAGAGAGACUGCUCUACCUCCUCACCCAGAGAGACCUGCUCUACUCCUCACCCAGAGAGGACCUGCUCUACCUCCUCACCCAGAGAGAGACUGCUUACCUCCUCACGCAGAGAGAGACUGCUCUAACUCCUCGCCCAGAGAGAGACCUGCUCUACCUCCCUACCCAGAGAGACCUGCUCUACCCCCUCCUCAACAGCAGACCUGCUCUACCUCCUCACCCAGAGACCUGCUCUACCCCCUCACCCAGAGAGAGAGACCUGCUCUACCGCCUCACCCAGAGAGAGAGACCUGCUCUACCGCCUCACCCAGAGAGAGGCCUGCUCCACUCCUCACCCAGAGAGAGAGACCUGCUCUACCGCCUCAUCCGAGAGAGAGAGACUGCUCUACCGCCUACCAGAGAGAGAGACCUGCUCUACCUCAUCACCCAGAGACCUGCUCUACCUCUCACCCAGAGACCUGCUCUACCUCUCACCCAGAGACCUGCUCUACUCUCACCCAGAGACCUGCUCUACCUCUCACCCAGAGACCUGCUCUACCUCUCACCAGAGACCUGCUUCUACCUCACCCCAGGACUGCUCUACCUCUCACCAGGACCUGCUCUACCUCAUCCCCCAGAGACCUGCUCUACCUCAUCACCCAGAGACUGCUCUACCUCAUCACCCAGAGACUGCUCCCACUCCUCACCCAGAGACCUGCUCUACCUCCUCACCCAGAGACUCCUCCACCUCCUCACCCGAGACCUGCUCUACCUCCUCACCCAGAGACCUGCUUACUCCUCACCCAGAGAGACCUGCUCUACCUCCUCACCCAGAGAGAGACCUGCUCUACCUCUCACCAGAGAGACCUGCUCUACCUCCUCACCCAGAGAGAGACCUGCUCUACCUCCUCACCCAGAGAGAGACCUGCUCUACCUCCUCACCCAGAGAGA
rnacentral:lncRNA from 1 species